UGGGCUUCAUUAUAGGCCUGCUUCUGUGGUUUGUGGUGGAUCAGUGGAGUCAUAAGCCACAGCUCCAGUGGGUUACCCUUGUGUCCUGUGGAUAAAAAUCAACCCCGCUGUUGUGUCCAUGUUGCGAAUGCACCGGUUAUGACCAUGAUUGACUUACUGUCUCAUAGGCCUAUGAAUAUUUUUCAUCUAUAACAUUUAGGUUGCAAAAUCUUGAAAUGAGGGUGCGAUACAUACUGUGUAGAAUUGGCCCUCAUAAGCUGACAGGGCAUCAAGUUAAUCUUUCUAUCUAUUAUUGAGCCUGUAAAGGCUCAGGUCCUGAGUAUUUUAAAGAGAAAGAGAAAGCCUCAUAAUUGCUAAACCUUCCUGAAAAUGCUUAAAAUAGAAGAAAAGAGGUAAAAAUCAACAUAUCUCAGUAGGAAUUCAAAGCGUAAGGUCUUUUUUGGAUGCAUUAUUGAAAAGGCAGGGUCCCUGGUAAAAUCCCCUGCUUCACGAGCCCACGUCACACUCUGAUUUGAAAUUGUAAUGAGGUGCAGGUUUUCAGAGGAUAUCCUCCCCAGAAUGAGGCGCACUCACUCAUUAGAUUGGACACGGUAAUGAAAAUAGAAAAGAUUUUUACACUGCCAACAGAAAAUCAGGGGAAUCAGCUCCAAACCAUCUCUUUAAUAGCAUGCAUUUUUUUUCCAUGAAUAUUAAUUAUUCACAGCUAUCUAUGCAUAGCUGAGUGUGAAUAUUUCUUUUGCAGCAGCUUUCAUAGAGCUCAUUUGAAUAUCUUUCUUAAAGCAUCUCUCCUCCUUGUAGUGGUUUGUUGUGCAUUUACAUCUUGGUGUCUCUUAGGAAAGUCUCUGCUGCUGGCCUCUUCUGCCUCUUCUCCACAGGAGCUUUUGGGCAAUAAGUGCCUCAUUUAGCAAAACAUCUGCAUUGUUAGAGUGAUGUAAAAUUUUUUUUAGCUUCCUGCCAAUCAGAGGAUUUUAAACUGUUGACCCUGAGACCACAUUUACAGCCGCAACCUUCAGAAAACAACUUCUUAAAGCACUUCUUGAUAAUUUGACAUUUUAGAACGCAGCCAGACUUGAUGUACACUCCAGACAUGACGGAAAGCUUUAUCAUUUCUAUGCAAUAUCUGACUAACCCAGGCCUUUGUUUACAGCGCACGGCAUGCUGUGAGAAAUAUAAUUCAGCGAACUUUUUACUAUUCACUCACAAGCCCCAUCAAAAUUCCAUCAAAUAUCCCGCUGACAGACGUUCUUGUCAAUCCGAAGACGCAAUCCAUCACUGCGCAGUCUGGGGUGGUAUUUUGCUCAAGAGAGAUUGCUUCCUUGUUCAGUUCAGAGGCAUCUAUACGAAAGCUUCUUCAGCGCCCAGAGAAAAUGCAGGGAAAAAUAUCAUUUGCAUAUGAAUUGGUAGCUGUAAACCUUUGUAUCAUGUCUGAAAAUAAGAGCAGCAGUGCAGAUUGCUUCAUCUCUUAAGGAAGUUUCAAAGCCCCUGUUGCGUGUACACACACACACAGACACACACACACCUCUCACACAUAAAGUUGGGAUUUUAUUUUGCACCUCUGCCACAGGGGUUGCAUUUCUUGAUAGGUGGUGUAUCUUUCUGCCAGCACAAUUAGCAUACAGCCGAUGAAACACCCACCUCAAAUUAGGCUGAAUCCAGCUGCAUCAGACCACGGAGCUCUUUGGGUUAUACACAUAGACUGUAUGUACUAUCCUCAACUUACUAGCAGAAUUACACAUGUGCACAGCCUGCUACACAAAAGGUUCCAGGGCCCUGUCUGAAUGAUCUAAAAUGCAUAGUCCAAACUGCAUGGCUCAAAGUGGAUUACGGCAUUUUUAAGAGCAUUUUGCAUUGAGAGACACAACAAGUUUGCUAUGUGAGGCACAGGGUGCCAGGUAGCCAAGGUCUCCCGUGUAGUAACAUUAAUUAAACCAAUCAGAACAUCUGCUGCCAUUCCCUGUGAGGGCUGGGCAUGUCUGCAGGAAGGUGUGCUGCUUUUUACACAGCUGAUUUCGGAGUUUCAACUAAACUGGACUGAGUUUACGUCAGCUUGUUUAACAGCAGUUUGUACAGGGUGGGUUGCUCUAAAAUUUUCUCAGAUUAAAAGUUAAUGAAAAUG
rnacentral:lncRNA from 1 species